rnacentral:rRNA from 1 species
UGAGGAAUUUUGCGCAAUGGGGGCAACCCUGACGCAGCAACGCCGCGUGAGUGAUGAAGGCCUUUGGGUCGUAAAACUCUGUCAGCAGGAAAGAAGUUAUAUGUGGUUAAUACCCAUGUAUAUUGACGGUACCUGCAAAGGAAGCACCGGCUAACUCCGUGCCAGCAGCCGCGGUAACACGGAGGGUGCAAGCGUUAUUCGGAAUUAUUGGGCGUAAAGGGCGCGUAGGCGGCCGAACAGGUCAGGUGUGAAAGCCCGGGGCUUAACCCCGGAAGUGCAUUUGAAACCUUUUGGCUUGAGUAUGGGAGAGGAGAGCGGAAUUCCUGGUGUAGAGGUGAAAUUCGUAGAUAUCAGGAGGAACACCGGUGGCGAAGGCGGCUCUCUGGACCAAUACUGACGCUGAGGCGCGAAGGCGUGGGUAGCAAACA